rnacentral:rRNA from 1 species
GUGGUUUUUCGGGGGAAAGAGGGGGGGGAACGGGGAGUAAAGGUUUGGGGAAACGGCCGGAAGGGAGGGGGAAAAACUACGUGGAANGGGUGGNUAAAAACGGCAUUAAGUUUUNGGACCCAAAGUGGGGGACCUUUGGGCCUCACGCCAUCAGAUGUGCCCAGAUGGGAAUAGNUAGUAGGUGGGGUAAUGGCUCACCUAGGGGACGAUCCUUAGCUGGUCUGAGAGGAUGACCAGCCACACUGGAACUGAGACACGGUCCAGACUCCUACGGGAGGCAGCAGUGGGGAAUAUUGCACAAUGGGCGCAAGCCUGAUGCAGCCAUGCCGCGUGUGUGAAGAAGGCCUUCGGGUUGUAAAGCACUUUUCAGCGAGGAGGAAGGGUGGUGUGUUAAUAGCGCAUCACAUUGACGUUACUCGCAGAAGAAGCACCGGCUAACUCCGUGCCAGCAGCCGCGGUAAUACGGAGGGUGCAAGAAGAAUAAUCGGAAUUACUGGGCGUAAAGCGCACGCAGGCGGUUUGUUAAGUCAGAUGUGAAAUCCCCGCGCUUAACGUGGGAACUGCAUUUGAAACUGGCAAGCUAGAGUCUUGUAGAGGGGGGUAGAAUUCCAGGUGUAGCGGUGAAAUGCGUAGAGAUCUGGAGGAAUACCGGUGGCGAAGGCGGCCCCCUGGACAAAGACUGACGCUUCAGGUGCGAAAGCGUGGGGAGCAAACAGGAUUAGAUACCCUGGUAGUCCACGCUGUAAACGAUGUCGACUUGGAGGUUGUGCCCUUGAGGCCGUGGCUUGCCGGAGCUACGCGUUCACAGUCGACUCGCCUGGCAGUCACGAU